GGGUCUAUAGCUUAGUGGUAAAGCUCACGGUUGUGGUCCGUGCGACACGGGUUCAAUCCCCGUUAGACCCC
rnacentral:tRNA from 1 species